rnacentral:lncRNA from 1 species
CCCCUGCCUCCCAUCUUGAUGUCUAAUAGGUCAAUCUUUCAAGAACACUUGUGGGGAGACCUGUGUCCUGGUCUGGAUCAGAGAUGUGAUGUAUUAACUUUCAGAGUCCUCCUUCACCCCGGCCUAUGUUUUACGGCUAGUGAGGGAAGUCUUUCCUGCCAGGAGAUGUUCAUUGAAGUGCAGACUGCUCGGAGCCACACCGCAGGCUGGCAGAGGAAGUGUCUCGGUGUUGCCUUGGCCCGUUCACCCCCUGCCAGGCCAGUAGAGGAGCUGAAGAGUCUUCGCCAUGGUUUGAGAAAAAGCUUAUAGAGGCCUGAGGCUGGAGGCAGGGGGAUCAGUGAGGAGGCUGCAGCAUCAGUCCAGCAUCUCCAAGCCUCUCUCCAAGUUCGCUCCAGGGCUUGCGAGAAACAAAGUGCUCUCCCUCAGCCCCAGCUCCUCGCACACCCAGUGGAAAGAAAACACUUGCUGUAAUUGGAAAGCCCCGAGAAGGUUGAGAGCACUUUUGUUUUCUUCAUCUCUGCGUCCUUAUUUCUUGGAACACUACCUGGCAAACCAUGGGUGCACCAUGCAGCAAGUUAAGGUCGCCGAAGUAGAAUUGCGUAUUAAGCCAGUGUCUCCAUCCAGACUUUUUUUUAGCAAGCAUACCUUAGGAAACUGAACUUCGCUUGAAACUGAAACUACCCUCCCAAAAUCAUCUCCAAGGCUUUCACCCUGUCACCCAGGCUGGCAGGCUGGAGUUCAGU